CUUGUACUCCCUCCGUCCAAAAAUACUUGUCAUUGAAAUGGAUGUAUCUAGAUGUAUUUUAGUUCUAGACACAUCCAUUUUGAUGAAAAGUAAUUCCAGACGGAGGGAGUACUUG
rfam:Triticum aestivum genome assembly, contig: Triticum_aestivum_CS42_TGACv1_scaffold_093208_2AL